ensembl:lncRNA
UAUACAGACCCGUAAAUAUAUGAGGACAGUAAGGAAAGGACAUAAGUUUUCCCAAAAAAGACAACAUAAAUCAGAAGAACUAGACAAUACAUUUAUCAAACAGAACAUUAUUUCAGAGGGUGGAUGGUAAAGAGCUUGUCUAUGGCUCUGAGGAAUUUCCAGAUGCUUAUGAGUAUAGUCUGGAGUAUGUGUGCUUUCUUGUACUUAGGUCAUUGACUUCACAGGUGGCUGAAGAAACUUCUGGCAGAGUUGCUGAUGACAGCAUGGGCAGGAGAGGCCUAUGGCUGUCAAAGACAGGAGAAUCUCAACAAACAACAGGAGAAAUAAACCUUCAUCCCCUGUAUUUAUAACCCCCUAUAUUUAUGUCCCUGUAGAAGGUGUAACAUCUCUCCCACUGAGUGGCUGAGGACACAAGGGUUCCAUGGUCUAGUCUGGACCUCUGGCCCUCAAAAGCAAAGCAGAAGUAGCCAGUAUCAAUUGCAUCACAUGCCACUCCUGUCUCCCUGACCAAGGCCCAGCACUUCACUUCUGGCCCUCUUUUCUAUCCUCUCUCCUCAGCCUUUUCUCAUCCUCCUGCUCUUUUAUGGGUUGAGCUGGUUCAUCAGCACUGCUCAUUUUAUACUUUCCUUGGGCCAGACAUGUCACCAAUGCCUCUGUGACAUGGGGUGCUUUCUGCUCAUUGUGACAUGGCUAUGCAUCACCAGAGUGGAUGCCAGAAGAUGAUGGAAGGCCUAGCCUUCCAAUGUUUUCAUUUUCUUAAAAGGCUGUCACUCUUUUGCCUUGCUCAAAUACAGUUCAGCAGAAAACCUCCAUAACUAAAUCUCACAGGGAAAAUGGCUGACAUGGAAAGAUUUUUGUCACUUCUCUCUGCUUGGGCACAGACUCUUGGCCAGGACUGUUAUCACACUGCUGUCCCUCAUCAUCUCAAUCUGUUCCAUCUCAACUUCCCCUGGCCUCCUCCUUGCUGUCAGGCCCAGAGUAGAGGGAGGUGAAGCCAAGCAUGAAGAACAUGUUCAAAUGAGGUGUGGGGAGUGGAAAAAGAUAUUUUGGCUUCUAGGUAAAUACCUUAACUUGCUUGUAAAAUGGGCAAUGGGUGGACUCAUCAUUUUCCUCAUGCCUUCUCCUGUGGUCCCAGAAGAUAAAGACACAUUGUGAGGAAAUAUCAGUGCUCAGACCACCUUUUUUCUCUAGGCUGUUGUGUCUGACAAGUAUUUUGACAGAGUUACAGUGGGAAUUACUUAGCCUGCCCAAUAUUUUAAUCAUUAUGUAUACAUAAAUUACAAAUACAUAUAUGUUAUGUAGUGGAACCAGUGUGCUACCCAACGUAAUCCUGAGUCUCAUCCCAUGAACAUCUAAUGUGCAUAAUCUACUAGCAAAUCUAAUACUUCUCUCCUGUCCCAGGACCUCUGUUUUUGGUUGUUGUUGUGUUUUUUUCCCUGCAAGAAGCCAGAUAUGAGAGAGAAAUAUGAAAGAAGACUCAUGAGCCCCUCUGAUACAGUAAAGAUGGCCAAUCAGAACAAAUCAAAUCUGGUUUUAAAAUCUGGAUACAGUCUUAGCUUUCAAAGGAAAGAGAAGACUGAGGGACUCACUAAACUCCUUAGUGGUUGAAGUCUAAGUGCCUGUCCCACGUAAGGAGCCUACAGCAGUGGCUCUAUACCACUUGUACCUCCUCAUUUCAAAUUACUGAAAGCCUCUCAGCUCACCACAUUACAAACACUCACCUUGUCCAGUCAAACCACAGAAAUCUCAGUAGGAAAUGAAAUAGAAAGCAUCAUCACAGUGUAGAAAUACCUUACUCCCAACAUAAUUUCUGUGGGUAGAACCAUUCUGUUAGACCUUCCCAGCUCAUUCCAGGUAUUUUAGCUCAGCUCUAGUCUUUUUAUCUAAUAGAUAGUUAAAAAUCAACUCUAAAUAUAGUGUAGUGUAACUCUGUAAUGAUAUGUUUAUGUUCAGCUAGGGGAAAAAAAGUAAGUGAAAAGUGUAACAGUUAACAGUGUCACCUCCUGUUGUGCCCAAACUGUGAGAUGCAGAAACUGGAGACAGCCUGCAUAAAAUUAACAAAUAGCUGAUCUGUGGAACCAUAUAUUCAAACCUGUCUACAAAAGACUCCUGCUUCCCUGUUAUAUCAAGCUGUAUUACAAUUGAAUAUGAUAGAAAUAUUUUAGCAAUGCAAAGUAAAUAUCUGGAACUAUUUAAACAGGCAAUUUUAAAGAAAUUAUUACCUUUAGAAAUUCUGUUCAUUUGACGACAAUAACACCAUUAAAGAAUAACAACAUGAGGAUGGAUAAAGCAGCUUUGUUGCAGCUGUGUUGAAAAAAUUACUGACUCCCUAGGGGUUAAUAAUUGAUUUUGUUCCAAUCUGACUGAAGGGUGGUGUUGAGUUUCUUUUUCUUUUUUUUUUUCUUUUUUAAUUGAUUUGUCAUUACACAAAGUAUCUGUGAGUUCAAUUUCUUACAGUGCCUCCUGCAAACUGAACCAACAGAAAGCCAGAAAUAGGUUCAAAUCACAGACUUUGAAUCUGGAUUUCAGACACAUGAAAUCUCAAUCUGGUGUUUUGAUACAGACUUUGAUACAGAUAAAAAGACAUUUCCAAAACUGAUCCUCAGAGCAGUUAGUUUUGUAACACUGACAGCUUCAUAAUCCAGAAGCAACUCAAUCCAGGGAUUUUGUUCAGCAGUUAUUACUGCAUUUCUGUGUCUUUUCUUUACAAAGGCUUGUAAAGAUGACAUUUCAGUGUUUAGCAGUCUGGAACCUGUCAGCAUUUUAAGAAUGCUACCUGUAUUAGCUAGAAGUUACUUUUUUCCAAAGGGUUUUCUGAAAAGGGAAAAAAAAAAAAAGAAAAAGAAAAAAAAAAGGAUUUUUGCACUAGACAAAUGUAUUUUGUGUGCACUAUCAUGAAAUGAGACAACAGAAACUUCUUUAUUAAAAUACUUGAAAAUUUGAAAAUUUGGAUAUAUGUGAAAGAUCUCAUAUUCUGGAACCAAUUUCUUGGAAAACUCAACUGGGUAAAGCCACAGUUGAAAUGCUCCGACAUAAAAGCUUGCAGUUCUUCUUUCAUGGUGGUAUUAGAAAUCCAUGAGUAGAUAGGUGAUGUGAACUUCUUUAAAUAAUAGAGUUAAAUGACACUAGCUUGUUCUGUUUUCUCAACAAAGACAAUGCAAGCAUCAUUUGCCCCACAUAUGAGUAAAGUGGUAUGAGUAAAUGCUUCAAAACUUUUCCUCUUUUCAUAAUGCAGACAAAAAGUAGCUAUGUGUGCUUCAUUUAGACUUAUGGCAAUAAGCAUGAAAAUAUUUGUCUGUGUGGGAGUUUUGAAGACGAAUAUUUAAUGUGUUAUGAUGUCACUCCAAUCUAUGUAGAACUGCGUAUUAAAGUCACCAUAAAUAAUAAAUAUGACAUUGUGAAGAAAAUUUCUCA